GUUUGUUUAAAAAAUGUACAUAUUGAAGGACAAUUUGAUUGUAAUUUAGCCCAAACUUUUUAAUAUGUUUUGAAGUUUUUCAAGCCAUUAUGGAUGUACUUUGGUGAAAUUAAAACCAGGUGCUCCGCAGGGCGCAGCUUUAUACGACCGCAGAGGUCGAACCCUGAACAGUUGGGGCAAGUAUGGACAAAACAUUCAAGCGUGAUACAGCUCUGAAUUUGGAUUGUGAUCAAAUUUUUGACAUUACAUGGUUUUUUUUUUUACACAAAACAAAUGUCAAGAUUUUACAAAUCAAUUAAAGAUUUCUUCUUCAAACUUUUUAAAUCUAAAAUUAAAUAGUUGACACAGCAUAGGUUUCUGACACAGAAUGAAUGUGGUCUAAUGAACUUAAAAGUUUUUUUUUUGCCUUUGAGCAAUUCACUAUGCUGUUGAAUAUUAAUCCUCUCAAAAAAAUGUUUGAAGAAAUUUUCAUUUUAUUUAUGAAAUCUGAAAUGAGAAAAAUUUAAACCCCCCCCCUUUUUUUUCACAUCCCGUUUCCUUUUUCCAAAACUGAUAUCAAUUCAAAUUUCUAAUGGAUUUGCAACAAUAACUACUCUUUUAAAUACAUCAUAAAAUAUUAAAA
rnacentral:lncRNA from 1 species